rnacentral:tRNA from 1 species
GCUUAAAUAGUUUAGACUAAAAUAUUAAUUUGUGGAGUUAAUGACGUAUUUAUGUACUUUGGGCA